UACGUAGGUGACCAGCGUUGUCCGGAUUUACUGGGCGUAAAGAGCGCGCAGGCGGUCGUUCAAGUCGAGUGUGAAAGCCCCCGGCUCAACUGGGGAGGGUCACUCGAUACUGAUCGACUUGAAGGCAGGAGAGGGAAGCGGAAUUCCCGGUGUAGUGGUGAAAUGCGUAGAUAUCGGGAGGAACACCAGUGGCGAAGGCGGUUGCCUGGGGCUUUGCUGACGCUGAUGCGCGAAAGCGUGGGGAGCGAUCCGG
rnacentral:rRNA from 1 species